rnacentral:rRNA from 1 species
CCAUGAAGCUGGAAUUGCUGUAAUGGCAGGUCAGCAUACUGCCGUGAAUACGUUCCCGGGCCCUUGUACACACCGCCCGUCACACCAUGAGAGUUGGGAAUACCCGAAGCCUGUGAGCUAACAUAACGAGGCAGCAGUCGAAGGUAGAAUCAAUGAUUGGGGUGAAGUCGUAACAAGGUAAC